CACGUAGUUAGCCGGGGCUUCCUUGGGAGGUACCGUCGCUACCUUCUUCCCUCCCGACAGGGCUUUACGGCCCAAAGGCCUUCUUCGCCCACGCGGCGUCGCUGCAUCAGGCUUUCGCCCAUUGUGCAAGAUUCCCCACUGCUGCCUCCCGUAGGAGUUUGGACCGUGUCUCAGUUCCAAUGUGGCCGUCCACCCUCUCAGGUCGGCUACCGAUCGUCGCCUUGGUGGGCCGUCACCCCGCCAACUAACUAAUCGGACGCAGGCCCAUCCCUCGCCGUUCCCUUUGGCCCCUCGAGCAUGCGCUCCAAAGGCUUCAUGGGGUCUUAAUCCCGGUUUCCCGAGGCUGUCCCCCAGCGAGGGGCAGGUUGCCUACGCGUUACUCACCCGUCCGCCGCUUUCCGCCAUCGUCUUCCGCCGAAACUUCCGUCGGUGGCUUCUCGCUCGACUUGCAUGUGUUAGGCGCGCCGCCAGCGUUCAUCCUGAGCCAGGAUCAAACUCU
rnacentral:rRNA from 1 species